AUUGAACGCUGGCGGAAUGCUUUACACAUGCAAGUCGAACGGCAGCAUAGGUGCUUGCACCUGAUGGCGAGUGGCGAACGGGUGAGUAAUACAUCGGAACGUGCCCAGUCGUGGGGGAUAACGUAGCGAAAGUUACGCUAAUACCGCAUACGAUCUAAGGAUGAAAGCGGGGGACCGUAAGGCCUCGCGCGAUUGGAGCGGGCGAUGUCAGAUUAGGUAGUUGGUGAGGUAAAAACUCACCAAGCCGACGAUCUGUAGCUGGUCUGAGAGGACGACCAGCCACACUGGGACUGAGACACGGCCCAGACUCCUACGGGAGGCAGCAGUGGGGAAUUUUGGACAAUGGACGCAAGUCUGAUCCAGCCAUUCCGCGUGCAGGACGAAGGCCUUCGGGUUGUAAACUGCUUUUGUACGGAACGAAAAAGCUCUUACUAAUACUAGGAGUCCAUGACGGUACCGUAAGAAUAAGCACCGGCUAACUACGUGCCAGCCGCCGCAGUAA
rnacentral:rRNA from 1 species